rnacentral:rRNA from 1 species
GACGAACGCUGGCGGCGUACCUAAUACAUGCAAGUAGAACGCUGAAGGAGGAGCUUGCUUCUCUGGAUGAGUUGCGAACGGGUGAGUAACGCGUAGGUAACCUGCCUGGUAGCGGGGGAUAACUAUUGGAAACGAUAGCUAAUACCGCAUAAGAGUAGAUGUUGCAUGACAUUUGCUUAAAAGGUGCAAUUGCAUCACUACCAGAUGGACCUGCGUUGUAUUAGCUAGUUGGUGGGGUAACGGCUCACCAAGGCGACGAUACAUAGCCGACCUGAGAGGGUGAUCGGCCACACUGGGACUGAGACACGGCCCAGACUCCUACGGGAGGCAGCAGUAGGGAAUCUUCGGCAAUGGACGGAAGUCUGACCGAGCAACGCCGCGUGAGUGAAGAAGGUUGUCGGAUCGUAAAGCUCUGUUGUAAGAGAAGAACGAGUGUGAGAGUGGAAAGUUCACACUGUGACGGUAUCUUACCAGAAAGGGACGGCUAACUACGUG